AACGCGAAGAACCUUACCAUCCUUUGACAUGGCGUGUUACCCAGAGAGAUUUGGGGUCCACUUCGGUGGCGCGCACACAGGUGCUGCAUGGCUGUCGUCAGCUCGUGUCGUGAGAUGUUGGGUUAAGUCCCGCAACGAGCGCAACCCUUAUUAUCAGUUGCCAGCAUUAAGUUGGGCACUCUGGUGAGACUGCCGGUGACAAACCGGAGGAAGGUGGGGAUGACGUCAAGUCAUCAUGCCCCUUAUGUCUUGGGCUUCACGCAUGCUACAAUGGCCGGUACAAAGGGCUGCAAUACCGUGAGGUGGAGCGAAUCCCAAAAAGCCGGUCCCAGUUCGGAUUGAGGUCUGCAACUCGACCUCAUGAAGUCGGAGUCGCUAGUAAUCGCAAACGCGAAGAACCUUAC
rnacentral:rRNA from 1 species